AAAAACAGUAACCCCUUCAUUUGCGUAAACAAAGGGCUUUCACAUGUAUUAGCCUGUUAGUUCAUCACAUCUAUUCAGAGUAGGAAAAGGCAGGAACCCAAACGUGCCUUGAAGCUGCCAUCUAAGAAGACACUCCUUCCUGGGCCUCAGCACUGCGCCAGUGCUGCAGCGGACGGUGGUACCUGUCACCCCACUCUAUGGAGCUGUAGUCAUGGGCACAGAAGAGUAAGAUGAAGAGCCCCUCCCUCAUACCACACUAGCUAGAACCUGAUCGCAAGAGGUGGGCACAGUGGGUGCCCACCCAAAUGAUGAGUUGCACUUCUCUCCAGGCUUCUAUUUACAGGAGACUAGGAUAGAAAGAGGAGAGAGGCAAGUAGAGUAACCACAACAGUGGACCAAGCAGAUAAGAUGGAGUCUUGCUCCGAUGCCCAGGCUGGAGUGCACUGGCAUGAUCUCAGCUCAUGGCAAUCUCCGACUCCCUGGUUCAAGCGAUUCUCCUCCCUCAGCCUCCCGAGUAGCUCGCAUUACAGGCACGUGCCACCACGGCAAGCUAAUUUUUGUAUUUUUAGUAGAGACGGGGUUUCACCAUGUUGUUCAAGCUGGUCUUGAACUCCUGACCUCAUGAUCUGCCCGCCUUGGCCUCCCAAAGUGCUGGGAUUAUAGGCGUGAGCCACCACGCCCAGCCUCCAGUGUCUAUUUUACACUUAGAGCACAUUUCAACUUGGACUGGCCACAUUUCAAUUCUCAAAUAACCACGUGUGGCUAGGGGACAAUAUACUGGACAGUACAGGUCUAGAACAUCCCUGUGGGCAGAGGCUGCUUCUUUCAGCCCUGUACUCUCUACAGUGAUUUACCCAUUCAAUGGGAUUAAAUGCAACAAGCAUGUAAAAACCAAAGUGUUAAAGCACUAAACAGUGCUUACCACACAGGAGGGGUUCAAUAACUGCCAGCUUCCUUUCCUUCACAUGCAGUAGGCCCUCAAUAAAUGUUUCUUGGGUUGACUUUCCAAACUGGAAACAGUAUUAUAGGAUUAAGGCCAUCAGGCUCCCUUUAUUCUGCUCAGCAGAAUAAAGCAAUCUUGUCACCUUAAUGUAGGUUCGUGGCACAUUUUCCUGGCAGAAGAAUAAUUACCCACCAAUAAACUUUUCCAACUAUUUGGAAAUAGCAAUUUCUCAGAAUAAAUAAACUAUUAUCCUGCUCUUCAUCAAUCCCAGUGAAUCUGAUUUUAAGCAAACCUGUAGGAUUCAUUUAUCCCUGGCUGAACUAAUAAAAGUGAAUUUCUGAGUCCAGGAAGAUAAAGAAAAGAUCCAGUAAGAUUGUCUUUCUAAACCAAGGAGCAGCCACCCUCAAGUCCAUCUGGAAAUGGCUGGUAAGACUGAUUCUGCAUUAUAGAAUCCUGUCUGCCCAGAGUCAGAGAGAAAUGCAGCAAUCGAGCUGUCUAAGCAGAUACUUGGAUAUCCAAAGUAUUAGAAUUAUUCUAAUCUCAAAGAAUUAGACAGAAUAAAGAAUUAGGAGCACUAGAAUAUUUUUAUCAUAAUUGAAUACUGUUUGAGGACUCAAACAGCAUUUCAGAAUUUCUUUUGCUCAAAGCAACAUUACUGUUCGGGAUGGCACCAUAAAAUUUGUAAUUUAAACUUCCAUGUCAGUUGAGCUUCUGUGUCGUUUAAUUACUUACUCAAAAUACAAAUCAACAUUUAAAGAAAUAUAUUUUAUAUAUAAUAAAUAUCACAAAAUAUCUCAUCUGACAAAACUGCAACUAGAAUAGGUAACAUGGGAAUUUCCUUAUGAAUUCUUAUCUCUUAUGCAAACAUUCUAGCCAAUCAAAUAGAUCUUUCAAUACGUGCAGUGCCUCCGUAGUGAUGCCUCAUGCUAACUAACUCCCUUCAUCGGUAAGUUAUCACUGCUUUAAACCUUCAGUCUCUGUCCAUCCAUUUCCUGUUAAAUUCCUCCUAGAUUCACUCAAUUCAUCCAGCCAGCCAUUCAUUAAACAAAUAUUACUGAGUUCAUAUCUACAGUAGAGUGCUAGGCACCCAGCACACAACAGAGAGUCAACCAAACAUGGUCCCUGCCCUGGAAAGCUUACAGUUGAAUUCUCUUCCCAAUCAAUGCCCAUUCUGCUUGUCCACCUCUGGGCCCCUCUGUCUCUCAGGCUACAUGCCUGUGCUGAAGUACCAACUAACAGGUAGCUGACCAGGGUUUUACCGAGUCUGUAUGGUACAUUAGGUGUCUGUAGGGCAUGGUCAUCUCUGUACAACACAGGCCUACUUUCUGGAUUUGUUAUGUUGGAAUAGAUUAUCUACCCUGAGUAUUUUCCCUUAUUUUUGUGAUCAAAUUACUUUCUCUUGGCAAUGCCUUCUUUUUUUUUCAUUAAGUACCUGGGUGCCCCCAAGUGGAUGAUGGUUCUCUCACAUUGCAAGAGCUGGUUGUACAAAAUGCAGCACCCAAGAACUUCAUGACCAUAUUAUCAACCUAGGAGAAAAAUGUUAUGGAUUUGUGCACCAAGAAAGGAAUCUAAAAUACAUUUGCAUAUUUUAUAACUCAUUUGAAUGUCAUCAUACCCAGAAAAUAAAAUUCAGGCCAUUUUUCCCUUGUUAAUAUUCAUGGUAUGGUGUGGUAUGUGUAUGUGUGUUGGGGGCAUGGUACAAACAAGGAAGGUUGAUACAAGUUAAAGAACAGCCACCUUCUAUGGAGCAGCAAGCAUAUUAUCACUGAAUUCUCAUUUAGGAAAAGAAAAUAUUUUUUCCCUGGUAAUUUAAUGAAAUUUAGAUAUUAUUAGAACCAACUUGGUUUUUUUUAAGAAAAAAAAAACUAGAAAAAUAUUUUGUAAGAAAAAAAAAAUUGUAUGAUUGUCAGCCUCAAGAAAAAAAUUCAGCCGGGUGCAGCAGUGGCUCAUGCCUAUACUCCCAGCACUUUGGGAGGCUGAGGCUGG
rnacentral:lncRNA from 1 species